rnacentral:rRNA from 2 species
GCGCGCGCAGGCGGUUUUUUAAGUCUGAUGUGAAAGCCCACGGCUCAACCGUGGAGGGUCAUUGGAAACUGGGGAACUUGAGUGCAGAAGAGAAAAGCGGAAUUCCACGUGUAGCGGUGAAAUGCGUAGAGAUGUGGAGGAACACCAGUGGCGAAGGCGGCUUUUUGGUCUGUAACUGACGCUGAGGCGCGAAAGCGUGGGGAGCAAACAGGAUUAGAUACCCUGGUAGUCCACGCCGUAGACGAUGAGUGCUAAGUGUUAGAGGGUUUCCGCCCUUUAGUGCUGCAGCUAACGCAUUAACCACUCCGCCUGGGGAGUACGGUCGCAAGACUGAAACUCACAGGAAUUGACGGGGGCCCG